GGGGGAGGUUGCUUCGGUAACUGACCUAGCGGCGGACGGGUGAGUAAUGCUUAGGAAUCUGCCUAUUAGUGGGGGACAACAUUCCGAAAGGAAUGCUAAUACCGCAUACGCCCUACGGGGGAAAGCAGGGGAUCUUCGGACCUUGCGCUAAUAGAUGAGCCUAAGUCGGAUUAGCUAGUUGGUGGGGUAAAGGCCUACCAAGGCGACGAUCUGUAGCGGGUCUGAGAGGAUGAUCCGCCACACUGGGACUGAGACACGGCCCAGACUCCUACGGGAGGCAGCAGUGGGGAAUAUUGGACAAUGGGCGGAAGCCUGAUCCAGCCAUGCCGCGUGUGUGAAGAAGGCCUUUUGGUUGUAAAGCACUUUAAGCGAGGAGGAGGCUCUUAAGGUUAAUACCCUUGAUGAGUGGACGUUACUCGCAGAAUAAGCACCGGCUAACUCUGUGCCAGCAGCCGCGGUAAUACAGAGGGUGCGAGCGUUAAUCGGAUUUACUGGGCGUAAAGCGUGCGUAGGCGGCUGAUUAAGUCGGAUGUGAAAUCCCUGAGCUUAACUUAGGAAUUGCAUUCGAUACUGGUCAGCUAGAGUAUGGGAGAGGAUGGUAGAAUUCCAGGUGUAGCGGUGAAAUGCGUAGAGAUCUGGAGGAAUACCGAUGGCGAAGGCAGCCAUCUGGCCUAAUACUGACGCUGAGGUACGAAAGCAUGGGAGCAAACAGGAUUAGAU
rnacentral:rRNA from 1 species